ACUUGACUUAAAUUCUCAGGAUAUGUUUCAGUUAAGCAGAUGAAGGAACCUUAUUCAAGAUCUGCACAAAUAUGUUUUAACACAACUGGUAACACAUUGGUUAUCCUGAGAGUGUUGUAAUUUUAGAUAAGACACAUUUGAGUCCUCAUGUUGGGUUUUGUAAUGGUGUAAAAAGAUUGAACUUGAGAGCUAAGGAAUGACUCACCAGUCUGGUCCUCUGUAGGCUGGCCUCUCAGAGCUGGAGUUGCCUCUUCAGGCUACUUGGGAACUAAAACUUGCCCCAGGGAAAUCUGCUUUGGUGGGUCUGUGCUGCAGACCACUGGGCCGCUGACCACAUCCUAGCCCUGCAAUUGCAAGACUAGAAACCUAGCCCUUGAUUGCGUGUGGAGGAUCCAGGGCUCUCCCAGUCAUGAAAUCCAAGGAUGGAGAGCAGGGCUGGAGGCCAAGGGCUGCCACAUCACACAGCUGGAACAAUAGACUUGGACACCAGGCCAUGGUCAUGCCAGGGGAGGGACUGAUGCUUCCCCCAGUGAUGCAGCUAAAAAUCCUCAUAGCCCAAGGAGAGGGGGCUGAGUUCCUCUUUCAGAACGUGAUGAGUAGAACAAUCAUCCUGAAUGCCCGCAUACGGUCCAGGAUGUGAUGGACAAUGGGGGAACUGCGAACCUGUUACUUCCUCUGCCUCUGUAAGUGCUCCCAAUAAACACUGCUCCAGACCAGCUGUGUGAGUGGUCGAGUCACAGUGGUGAGUGGUCGAAAAGGGAAUACAACUUUUUCUUCUUUUGACUUAGAGCUUAGCAAAACACAUUUAAAACAUUUGCACUGGUCAAGUCCCAACUGCAAAGUGUGGGCAAACUCAAAUUAGGAUAAUUCAGGAAGAGUUUAUUUACAAAAGAACUAAUUAUGAAGUGUGUGUGUGAGGUGUAGGGGAACUCUAAGGGGCAGUGCAGGAAGCCUGGCUAGCACCAGCAGAGCUGUUACCACCCCUCGGUCCAAAGGGCUGAAGGCUGGGAGAGGUUACCGGAACCUGGAAGGAGAAAGUCUUGCAGAGUAACUUACGUCAAGAAGAGCUGUGACUUCUGUCAGGGAACACAGUGAGCCCCAGGUCCCCUCACAAUGAAGAAGCCAGGGAAUGAAUACCGUGAUCUCAUCUCCACCCACUUCCACCCUGGACUUUCCAUUUGCUGAAUCCAAGUGGAAGUCUGAAAAUACAGGAGCCCAUUGGAUUUGAUCCAUUGAUACAGGUCAGCUUCCGGGGACAAAGAGCUUGGUGGAGAAAGGAAGAAGAUCUACUAGUGUGUUUCAUCAUCACUUUGGCUUUAAGUACCCAAACUGAAGACAGUCAUCAGCAGUAGGAUGGAUAACUUAUGGUAUCUUCAUUCAGUGGAAUACUGUAAAGAAAUGAAAAAGAACAAAAUGCAACAAUAUGAAGAAUUGUCAUUGACAUACUGUUGAGCAAAAUAAGCCAAACACAAAAGAAGACGUUCUAUAUGAUUCAAUUAUAUAAUUCAGGAUAAAAAAAAAAAAAAGGUAAAUAGAG
rnacentral:lncRNA from 1 species